UACGUAGGGGGCAAGCGUUGUCCGGAUUUAUUGGGCGUAAAGCGCACGUAGGCGGCUUUCUAAGUCAGGGGUGAAAUCCUGGAGCUCAACUCCAGAACUGCCUUUGAUACUGGAGAGCUUGAGUCCGGGAGAGGUGAGUGGAACUCCGAGUGUAGAGGUGAAAUUCGUAGAUAUUCGGAAGAACACCAGUGGCGAAGGCGGCUCACUGGCCCGGUACUGACGCUGAUGUGCGAAAGCGUGGGGAGCAAACAGG
rnacentral:rRNA from 1 species